rnacentral:rRNA from 1 species
GGGGGGGGGGGGCAAGCGUUGUUCGGAAUUACUGGGCGUAAAGGGCGCGUAGGCGGGUCCCGCAAGUCCUCCGUGAAAUCCCACAGCUCAACUGUGGAACUGCGAGGGAAACUGCAGGACUUGAGUCCGGGAGAGGAGAGUGGAAUUCCCAGUGUAGCGGUGAAAUGCGUAGAUAUUGGGAGGAACACCGGUGGCGAAGGCGGCUCUCUGGACCGGUACUGACGCUGAGGCGCGAAAGCUAGGGGAGCAAACGGGAUUAGAUACCCCGGUAGUCCUAGCCUUAAACGAUGAGCACUUGGUGUGGCGGGUAUCGACCCCUGCCGUGCCGAAGCUAACGCAUUAAGUGCUCCGCCUGGGGAGUACGGUCGCAAGGCUG